rnacentral:snRNA from 1 species
GCAUUUAGACGCCUAGGUUGGUGACCUCCAUUGCACUUUGAAGGGGUGCCCGCCUAAGGUCGGCCCAAGUGGCUGAGCUUACGUCAUAAUUUGUGGCAGUGGGGGCUUGCGUUCGCGCAGCCCCUAC